rnacentral:rRNA from 1 species
GAAGCCGGAGCGCCAGCUUCGGUGGAGGCGUCGGUGGGAUACCACCCUGGCGGUAUUGAAAUUCUAACCCGCACCCCUUAGCGGGGUGGGAGACAGUGUCAGGUGGGCAGUUUGACUGGGGCGGUCGCCUCCCAAAAGGUAACGGAGGCGCCCAAAGGUUCCCUCAGAAUGGUUGGAAAUCAUUCGGAGAGUGCAAAGGCACAAGGGAGCUUGACUGCGAGACGGACAGGUCGAGCAGGGACGAAAGUCGGGCUUAGUGAUCCGGUGGUUCCGCAUGGAAGGGCCAUCGCUCAACGGAUAAAAGCUACCCCGGGGAUAACAGGCUGAUCUCCCCCAAGAGUCCACAUCGACGGGGAGGUUUGGCACCUCGAUGUCGGCUCAUCGCAUCCUGGGGCUGUAGUCGGUCCCAAGGGUUGGGCUGUUCGCCCAUUAAAGCGGUACGCGAGCUGGGUUCAGAACGUCGUGAGACAGUUCGGUCCCUAUCCGUCGCGGGCGCAGGAAAUUUGAGAGGAGCUGUCCUUAGUACGAGAGGACCGGGAUGGACGCACCGCUGGUGUACCAGUUGUCCCGCCAGGGGCACCGCUGGGUAGCUAUGUGCGGACGGGAUAAGCGCUGAAAGCAUCUAAGCGUGAAGCCCCCCUCAAGAUGAGAUUUCCCAUCGC